AGGAGGAGGAGGAGGAGGAGGACAAUGCUCUCUUCGGCAGCGGCCUUUAUCCUGGGACUGUCGGCAUCGACCUCAUUCUUCUAGCCCUGCCUGCAGUCUUAGGCCAGGCCAUUGACCCCAUGGCGCAGCUCAUGGAGACCGCGUAUAUCGGCAAAUUAGGGGCUCUGGAGCUAGCGUCUGCUGGAAUUGGUGUGGCUAUUUUCAACAUCCUAUCCAAGAUUUUCAACAUCCCCUUGUUGAGCAUAGCAACCUCAUUUGUGGCAGAAGAUAUUUCCAAGAAUGCUAGCAAGCAUUCUACUUCAGGCAAACUGGAGCUGCCAUCCGUGUCGUCGGCUUUGGUUUUAGCUGCUGCGAUUGGUACAAUCGAAGCAUUGGCAUUGUUCCUAGGAUCAGGAUUGUUUCUUAAACUAAUGGGCGUCUCACCUGUCUCUCCGAUGUAUACAUCUGCGCGGCUCUUUCUUUCGCUGAGAGCCUUAGGAGCACCUGCAAAUGUGAUUAUGUUAGCAGUGCAGGGUAUCUUUCGUGGAUUCAAGGAUACCAAGACUCCCGUACUUUUUAUAGGUUUGGGGAAUCUUUCAGCUGUGGUCCUUCUUCCGCUACUUAUAUAUGGUUUUAAGCUUGGUAUAACAGGAGCAGCAAUUUCGACAGUCGCAUCCCAGUACAUUAUUGCCAUUUUGCUUAUGUGGUCUCUAAGUAAAAGAGCUGUUCUGCUUCCUCCAAAGAUGGACCAGUUAGAGUUCGGUGGAUAUUUAAAAUCUGGUGGCAUGCUAUUGGGACGAACCCUCUCAAUUCUGUUAACUAUGACCAUCGGUACAUCAAUGGCUGCUCGACAAGGCCCAACAGCUAUGGCUGCUCAUCAGAUUUGUUUGCAAGUAUGGCUUGCUGUAUCUCUGCUUGCAGAUGCCUUAGCAGUUUCUGCCCAGGCUCUGAUUGCAAGCUCUUACGCAAUACUGGACUACAAAAGGGUCCAGAAGGUUGCGAUGUUUGCUCUGCAGAUAGGACUAGCUAGCGGGUUAGCUUUGGCAGUUGGCCUGUAUAUCUCAUUUGGCAGUAUAGCAAAGCUAUUUACCAAUGACCCUCAGGUCCUAGCGGUUGUGAGCUCCUGUGCAUUGUUUGUCUGUGCCAGUCAACCAGUUAAUGCCUUGGCAUUCAUCUUUGAUGGCCUCCAUUAUGGCGUCUCCGAUUUUGACUAUGUCGCUCAAGCUACGAUUGUGGUUGGGGUGAUAUCAUCGUUGGUCUUGUUAUAUGCUCCACGUGUCUUUGGCCUGGCCGGAGUUUGGGCUGGUUUGACAACACUCAUGGGAUUGCGCAUGGCUGCAGGCAUCCUGAGGUUGCUAUGGAAAUCAGGACCUUGGUCAUUUUUGCACGAGGAACCUGCAGAAACCAAGGCCGGGCCGGGUGUGUUUGAAUCGAAUAUUACAGUUGCAGGCGCAGCCCUUUGCAUCAUAAGAAUUCGUGGCGAGCCAGCACAUGUCAGGUCGUAGGGAGAGGUGCAGUUGAGGAAUGAAGAAGCACAAGCUAAACCAAGAAGGGGUCAAGCUGCUAAGCUAAGAGGAUAUAUUGUCAUUAGUUUUGUCACUUUUUUUUUUGUGUGUGUGUGUGCGUGUGUAUGUAAAGAAGAGGAGGGAGGAUUAUUUCAUUUGAUGUUGCCAGCAUGCAGUUUCUUCAUUCAUUUGUUUGUUCUAUCUAUAAAACUAUGCAUUUCUAAUGAUAUGUAAAGUAUGGAAGAAAUGUGAGUUGUUGGUUCCCCUAUGGCUAUUCAUUUCAUUUCACG
rnacentral:rRNA from 1 species